rnacentral:rRNA from 1 species
AUGGCGGCGGCCGCAACCCCUUCGCCGGCGACGGCGCUCCUACCGGCGGACGACCCCGGGCACGACGCCGACAAGGAGGAGGAGGGGGAGUGCCGCAUCUGCCGCCUCCCCGCCGAGGCGGACCGCCCCCUGCACCGUCCCUGCGGCUGCCGCGGCAGCAUGAGGUUCGUCCACGACGACUGCCAGCUCCAGUGGAUCGCCCGCCGCCGCAAACUCCCCCGCUGCGAGGUGUGCAGACGCCGCAUCUCCACCCGGCCUCUCUAUGCCGGGGACGCCCCCGCGAGGCUGCCCGUUUCCGAGCUCAUGGCGGGUCUGCCCACACUGCUCAUCGGGCUGCUGCUCCCCGUCUUCUUCGCCGUCUGCGUCGUCCGGGAGUUUGUCGUUCCACUCACCACCCGCUGGACGUGGCGCCUCGCGCUCGCCACCAACUUUGCUCAAGCGCGCCAUCUGCUCUCCCUGCGCCUAUCCAUGGCCUCAUGGACCUGCAUCCCUGCUUCAGCUGCAUUCUGCUUGCAGUUUGCACGCUUGGUUGUGCCAUUUGCUGUAGCUCCAUUUGCGCGCUGGGUCGCACGUCUGCUGGCUCAGAUGCAAAGCCUGGAGCUUGGGUUAUUCGAGAGAUUGCAAUUCCUUGCGAUGUCUGUUGUCGAAGUUUCCUUGGUGGUGGUAAUAGUUGACAUGGGCCUUGCUUGUUUUCUUUGUUUUCUCCCAUUCUCUCUGGGAAGGAUAAUCCUUUGGUCGAGAUCGUGUCUUGAUGUUGCCAAUGAGGAUGAAAUCAAUUGUUACACUUCAACAGCUUCCACCCUUCUAAGUGGAUAUGGACUUAUGUUGAAGGUGGGUGCAACUUUUGCCGGGGCGCAUACUUUGUAUCUCUACUUGAGAGGCAAGCGCCUUGUGAUUGCAAUUUUCUGUAGAAGUCUGCAUGCUAUAUUCUUCAGAGGGAACGCAAAUUCAACCACUCUUGCCAAUGAAUCUCUUAAUAUGCUAAACAAUGGGAUAAUAGACCCAUUGUUCUUCGGCUGGUCGCUUGAUCUCUGCACUACGGAAUUGUUUGGUGUAACAAUGUCUCAGAGGUUCAAAUUGCUGAUUGCUUCAUCUUUUGCUUCUGCUGCCCUUCAUUGGCUUAUCGGAAUCUCCUUUUUGAAUCUACGCCUCAGAUUAUCAAGAAUCCUUCGCAAGAUAUUGGGGCCAGGAGUGGCCACUCCCUUUCUCGGCGGUACUGUUUCCCAACCAUUCUACACAUUUUAUCUCAAGAGGCUUGUUGUUCUUUUUCUCGAAACUAUCUUUAUUGUACUGGUCAUUUCUGUUCCUAUCAAAAUUGUUGAUCUAUUGGCACCAAUGGUGUUCCCUCUAGAAAUCCCCUACUUCGAUCAUCCUGCUAGGGGCACAUCAGUUUGGCAAGGGCCACUAAACUUUACAGAGUCACUUUCUGGUGUUAUUCAUAUGAGGUAUCUCAUUGGAAAAAUAGUCGUGUACCUUGCGACUCUGGUGGAGUGGGUAAUGGGGUAUUGGUUUGUUACUACUGGACAACCUCUUGGGAAAAAUGUUGCGGCAAAAGACCAGUAUGGUAGCAGCAAUGAUGCUAAGGAUGAUUGGAGACUUGCUGCUGUUCGAACAAUGCCGCGAGCGGUCCUAGCAUGGUUGACUGCUGUGAUAUUGAAUUCUGCUGUGCUUUUGCUUCCAGUCUCAGUUGGGCAUGCAUUGCUGUUUGCCGUCCCUCAGCUGCCAGUUGGACUGAAGUCCAACGAUCUGUUUGCUAUCACUGUUGGACUCUGCAUCAUAUCAACCAUCAUCGCCGCCUGUAGAGAUUUAUCUACCCGCGUGAUUUCGGGGAAAACACGCCUUCUAGCUUUGCAAAGGCAUCUGCUUGUCUGCAUAUGGAGCGUCGUCAUUCCACUCCUGACCGGUUUGCUGGUCGAUCUGUCAAUGAUAUCGCCCUUCUUCGUCGGUUCUGACGAUGAAUUCCCAGCCACGAGCUUUUUCCGCACUUGGCUCCUGGGGUGCAUCUUUAAGCAACUAUGGAUCAAGUGCUUCGUUGACAAAAGGCGGAAGGCAAAACUCAACCGGGCGAAGGAAGAUCUCUCCUCGGAGCUCAGGCCAAUGUGGUGGUUCUUUCAGGACGUAUGCGUGCCCGUCGUCGCUACGCUGCUCGCCGCCCUGGGUGUCCCCUACGUUCUCGCCAGGGGCGUCUUCCCUGGACUGGGCUACCCCGCCAACAUGAACUCAACGGCCUACCGCUUUGCGUGGUCGGGCAGCCUCGGUGUCUGCACGCUCUGCUGGCUGACCAAGGCGCUGUGUGUCAUGCUCCAUGAUUCUAUCAAGGACGAUCGGUACGCCGUCGGCCGAAGGCUGGAAGACGUUGAAUGA